rnacentral:misc_RNA from 1 species
GAUGAAGAACGCAGCGAAAUGCGAUAAGUAAUGUGAAUUGCAGAAUUCAGUGAAUCAUCGAAUCUUUGAACGCACAUUGCGCCCACUAGUAUUCUGGUGGGCAUGCCUGUUCGAGCGUCAUUUCAACCCUUAAGCCUAGCUUAGUAUUGGGAACUUACUCUUCUGUAAUUCCUUAAAUUCAACGGCGGAUCUGUGGUGUCCUCUGAGCGUAGUAAAUUUUUAUCUCGCUUUUGUUAGGUGCUGCAGCUCUCGGCCGCUAAACCCCCCAAUUUUUAAUGGUUGACCUCGGAUCAGGUAGGAAUACCCGCUGAACUUAAGCAUAUCAAUAAGCCGGAGGA